rnacentral:rRNA from 1 species
CCUACGGAGGCAGCAGUGAGGAAUAUUGGUCAAUGGGCGAGAGCCUGAACCAGCCAAGUCGCGUGAAGGAUGACGGCCCUACGGGGUGUAAACUUCUUUUGUCAGGGAGCAAUUGGGUCCACGCGUGGGCUUAGCGAGAGUACCUGAAGAAAAAGCAUCGGCUAACUCCGUGCCAGCAGCCGCGGUAAUACGGAGGAUGCGAGCGUUAUCCGGAUUUAUUGGGUUUAAAGGGUGCGUAGGCGGAAUAUCAAGUCAGCGGUAAAACUUCGGGGCUCAACCUCGUCGUGCCGUUGAAACUGAUGUUCUUGAGUGGGCGAGAAGUAGGCGGAAUGCGUGGUGUAGCGGUGAAAUGCUUAGAUAUCACGCAGAACUCCGAUUGCGAAGGCAGCAUACCGGCGCCCAACUGACGCUGAAGCACGAAAGCGUGGGUAUCGAACAGGAUUAGAUACCCUAGUAGUC